rnacentral:lncRNA from 1 species
CGAGACCGGCAAAUCGCUCACUGCAUCCUGACUCCUCCCUCCACCAACGCAGGGGAGUACAUUUAUGCCCUCAAAGACCUCACCUACGCCACGUUCUGCGGGGCCAUAUCCGAAAAGUUCUGCGACCUCUACUGGGGCGAGAAGCUGCUGCAGAGCCUCUUCAACGUGGUGAACGGACGGACGCCGCCCUCGGGGAAUGCUUCCGAAGACACUGGGUCGCAGCCCGAGGGCAGCAGGACCCGCGCUCCGAGCAGCUGCUCACCAUCCAGCAGGAGGGCCUCACGUCUUGGGCUGGGGAAGGAGAAGCCGGGUGUGGACUCAGACGCGCUCUCUCAGGGCAACUUCGAAGUGGGGUUCCGGCCUCAGCAGUCUGUCAAAGCUGGGAGGGAGCGGCAGCCGGAGGCC